CCUACGGGUGGCAGCAGUGAGGAAUAUUGGUCAAUGGCCGGAAGGCUGAACCAGCCAUGCCGCGUGAAGGAAGAAGGCUUUCGGGUUGUAAACUUCUUUUAAGAGGGAAGAGCAGAAGACGGUACCUCUUGAAUAAGCCACGGCUAACGACGUGCCAGCAGCCGCGGUAAUACGUCGGUGGCAAGCGUUGUCCGGAUUUACUGGGUGUAAAGGGCGUGCAGCCGGGAAGACAAGUCAGCUGUGAAAUCCCGCGGCUCAACCGCGGAACUGCAGUUGAAACUGUUUUUCUUGAGUACCGGAGAGGUCAUCGGAAUUCCUUGUGUAGCGGUGAAAUGCGUAGAUAUCAGGAAGAACACCAGUGGCGAAGGCGGAUGACUGGACGGCAACUGACGGUGAGGCGCGAAAGCGUGGGGAGCAAACAGGAUUAGAUACCCCAGUAGUC
rnacentral:rRNA from 1 species